CCCCGAGCCGUCCACAUGGAGCCGGUCCCGACCCCCUCUCCCCCGCCCCGAGCCGAAAAGGCUCCUCAGUCCGCGCUCCCUCCGGCCACGAUUCGCGGCGGCAGUUCGUCCUUCGCAGUCCGCCGACCCGGCCACGCCCCGCCGCCCCCCCACCACCCCCACGUCCCGGCGGUUCCCAAUGGCGUCACGCUCGUGCAAGAAAUCGAGACGCACAGCAGGAAGCCGUUUCUCGCUCGAGGCGGAGAACAUCGGAGCGCGCGCCGCGGCGGACUGCUCCAGAAUUCGGGCCGCGACGGACCUCUCCGGACUUCGCGCCGCGGCGGUCCUCUCCAGCACCAGUGUCUGGUCGAGGAGGCGGAGGCCGUGGGAGCUGACCUCGCGCGCACGGCGUGGUGUCGCAGGAAGCACCUUGGACUGCUCUGCCACACGCUCGCCGUGGUCUACUCUGCCUCGCGCUCAACGGGGACUACUCUGCCUCCAAACCAGCGUGCAGCCCCACAAGCAUGGCAACGAGAAGGCUCCAGUUUGGUGAAGUAGGAGAGCAGGGAGAUGUUCCGGUGAGAAAAGAACAGGAAGUCAUUGUCGAAGAGGCAACAAGGUGCAAUCUAGGGAUGCAGCAGGAUGUAUCAGAGAAUCAAGGAAUACAGGGGGGUGUUUCAAAUGAAAGGAGGAUGAAUAUAGACGAAGGAAUACACACACCACAUGCAUCGAGCAUGACCGAGGGUGAAGAAGGAUGUAGCAGAAAUAUAAUCACACCGCCUGCAACUGUUGACCCAUUUGAUAUUCAGACACCGAAUCCUGGACAUAUAUACACACAUAGAGACGACAUGGACGAAGCUUGGAUUCCAAGAGUGGGUAGGUGCUUCAAAUCAGAGGAAGAAGCACAUGAAUUCUACUGUACAUAUGCUGAAAAGGCAGGUUUCGAGCCAAAAAAGGCUAACAAGUCAGGGAAUACUAGGUACUUUAGGUGCAAUCGUUUUGGAAAAGGAGAGUACUACAAGAAAGACGAGGCAGAACGAAAAACGGGCAAGACAUCAAAGAAGACAUCGUGCCUGGCGAUGAUAAAGCUAAAGUUUAGACGUGAUGAAGAAAGUAAUGAAAAAGUAGCGGAGAUAGAGCAGGUCAGACUAGAUCAUAACCAUGUGUUGCUCCCAAAGCCUACAGAGA